rnacentral:rRNA from 1 species
CAGCAGCCACGGGAAUACGUAGGGUGCAAGCGUUAAUCGGAAUUACUGGGCGUAAAGCGUGCGCAGGCGGUUAUAUAAGUCAGAUGUGAAAUCCCCGGGCUCAACCUGGGAACUGCAUUUGAGACUGUAUGGCUAGAGUGUGUCAGAGGGGGGUAGAAUUCCACGUGUAGCAGUGAAAUGCGUAGAUAUGUGGAGGAAUACCGAUGGCGAAGGCAGCCCCCUGGGAUAACACUGACGCUCAUGCACGAAAGCGUGGGGAGCAAACAGGAUUAGAUACCCCCGUAGUCCCUGUCUCUUAUAC